rnacentral:rRNA from 1 species
AUUGAACGCUGGCGGCAGGCCUAACACAUGCAAGUCGAACGGUAACAGGAAGAAGCUUGCUUCUUUGCUGACGAGUGGCGGACGGGUGAGUAAUGUCUGGGAAACUGCCUGAUGGAGGGGGAUAACUACUGGAAACGGUAGCUAAUACCGCAUAACGUCGCAAGACCAAAGAGGGGGACCUUCGGGCCUCUUGCCAUCGGAUGUGCCCAGAUGGGAUUAGCUAGUAGGUGGGGUAACGGCUCACCUAGGCGACGAUCCCUAGCUGGUCUGAGAGGAUGACCAGCCACACUGGAACUGAGACACGGUCCAGACUCCUAAGGGAGGCAGCAGUGGGGAAUAUUGCACAAUGGGCGAAAGCCUGAUGCAGCCAUGCCGCGUGUAUGAAGAAGGCCUUCGGGUUGUAAAGUACUUUAAGCGGGGAGGAAGGGAGUAAAGUUAAUACCCUUGCUCAUUGACGUUACCCGCAGAAGAAGCACCGGCUAACUCCGUG